GACAGGACAGAAAAUCAGCUUUUUAUUUUUAUGUUUUUAAUAGUGGAAGAAUACCAAGUCACUACUCUGAAACUUAUUCCACUGUGAAAAUAGUCCUGCUGAGAACAUAGCAUGGCUUUGUUUUGCCAUUCCACAGAAAAAUCAAGAAGCUGAUGAGCAAAUGGAAAAGCAUGUUGACAAAACCCUUUUUGCUUAUAAUACCUUGCACAUGUUUAUGCCUAAAAACAUUUGCACAGAAUAGAUGUUUUUUGUUGAGGCUCCAUUCCAUGUGAUGAAGUCGAACUGAUGGUUGGGUUAAAGUUUACUACUGGGGAUUUCAAUCUUGAAACUACAAGAGGAAAGGUCUCUGGAUUUCAUCAUGAUCUCUUUUGAAAAUGUUUGAGCAUGCCUACAAAUAAUUACUGUUCCAUAAUGCAGUGAAAUCUUCCAACAAAUACAGAAAGCUGUCUGCAGUACUGACACCAUACAGAUCUGUUUGCUUGUUUGCUUUUCUUGGUAAACCAGGAGUUUUGUUACAAUAGGAUGCGUAUUUUGGCUUUUGGAAUACAGCAAGGAUCACAGGAAGUGAUACGUGCUGACAAAAGGAUUCUGAAGUUUUGUUAGGAGGAAACAAUUUCAGAGUCUCCACUAGGAAAAUUCCACUCAUCUUGAUACAUGGUAUUUUAACUAUUAUUUAAAAAGAAUUACUUACAUGUUAUCAAGACUAUGAAUGUUUGUUUUAGAAUAACUUUGUAAUUCUUGUAUUCAACCCUUGCUUGCACACAAAAUUACCUAGAUUUCACUGAAUUAAAACCACUUCUGUAAAUGUUCCUGAAAAAAAAUCUACUAUAUUUAACUUUGCUGUUGAGUUCUGUGUUCUUUCAACACACAAAUCUUCUUCCACUAUGUAACAGAAACAUUGCUAUUAACUGAAGCUUCAAAGGGAUGAUAAUGAUUUCCAAAGCAUAUAAUGAGGAUCCCUCUUUGUAGCACCUUCUAAUAAGGAGAGGGUCUUUCUCAAAC
rnacentral:lncRNA from 14 species